AACGAACGCUGGCGGCAGGCUUAACACAUGCAAGUCGAGCGCCCCGCAAGGGGAGCGGCAGACGGGUGAGUAACGCGUGGGAAUCUACCGAGCCCUGCGGAAUAGCUCCGGGAAACUGGAAUUAAUACCGCAUACGCCCUACGGGGGAAAGAUUUAUCGGGGUUUGAUGAGCCCGCGUUGGAUUAGCUAGUUGGUGGGGUAAUGGCCUACCAAGGCGACGAUCCAUAGCCGGUCUGAGAGGAUGAUCAGCCGCAUUGGGACUGAGACACGGCCCAAACUCCCACGGGAGGCAGCAGUGGGGAAUAUUGGACAAUGGGGGCAACCCUGAUCCAGCCAUGCCGCGUGAGUGAUGAAGGCCUUAGGGUUGUAAAGCUCUUUCACCGGUGAAGAUAAUGACGGUAACCGGAGAAGAAGCCCCGGCUAACUUCGUGCCAGCCGCCGCAGUAAGAC
rnacentral:rRNA from 1 species